rnacentral:rRNA from 1 species
GACGAACGCUGGCGGCGUGCCUAAUACAUGCAAGUCGAACGCAGUGGGGACGGGUGAGUAACCCGUGGGUAACCUCCCAUCAGAGCGGAUAACACUUGGAAACAGGUGCUAAACCGAUACUGAUGGAUGGACCCGCGGUGCAUUAGCUAGUUGGUGAGGUAACGGCGCACCAAGGCCACGAUGCAUAGCCGGCCUGAGAGGGUGAUAGGCCACACGGGGACAGAGACACGGACCAGACUCCUACGGGAGGCAGCAGGAGGGAAGCUGCGGCAAUGGACGAAAGUCUGACCGAGAAACGCAGCGUGAGUGAAGAAGGUUUUCGGAUCGUAAAGCUCUGUUGUUAGAGAAGAGGUAGUUAAACAGAAAGCGACGGCUAACUACGUGCCAGCAGCCGCGGUAAUAC